rnacentral:rRNA from 1 species
UAAUGCUGGAUGCUCCAACUUGACGCAUGUCUUGUUGGGGAAAGUGUUUAGUGGCAUGGGGAUGGGGUCGCGUCCUAUCAGCUUGUAGGCGGGGUAAUGGCCCACCUAGGCUUCGACGGGUAGCCGGCCUGAGAGGGCGGACGGCCACAUUGGGACUGAGAUACGGCCCAGACUCCUACGGGAGGCAGCAGUGGGGAAUAUUGCGCAAUGGGGAAAACCCUGACGCAGCGACGCCGCGUGCGGGAUGAAGGCCUUCGGGUUGUAAACCGCUUUUGAUUGGGGAGCAAGCCUUCGGGUGAGUGUACCUUUCGAAUAAGCGCCGGGCUAACUACGUGCCCAGCAGCCGCGGGUAAAUA